rnacentral:rRNA from 1 species
GCAUAACGCGAAGAACCUUACCAGCCCUUGACAUCCUCGGAAUCUGCUAGAGAUAGCAGCGGCCUUCGGGACAGAGGAGACAGGUGGUGCAUGGUUGUCGUCAGCUCGUGUCGUGAGAUGUUGGGUUAAGUCCCGCAACGAGCGCAACCCUUAACUUUAGUUGCCAGCAGGUUAAGCUGGGCACUCUAGAGUGACUGCCGGUGACAAACCGGAGGAAGGUGGGGAUGACGUCAAAUCAUCAUGCCCCUUAUGACCUGGGCUACACACGUACUACAAUGGCCGGUACAACGGGAAGCGAAGCCGCGAGGUGGAGCCAAUCCCAUCAAAGCCGGUCUCAGUUCGGAUUGCAGGCUGCAACUCGCCUGCAUGAAGUCGGAAUUGCUAGUAAUCGCGGAUCAGCAUGCCGCGGUGAAUACGUUCCCGGGUCUUGUACACACCG